rnacentral:rRNA from 1 species
AACACGUGGGUAACCUGCCCGCGGGUGGGGGAUAACCCUCCGAAAGGAGGGUUAAUACCGCAUAACAUCUCGAGCUCUUCGGCGCACGAGAUCAAAGCUUGCCUCUUCUUGAAAGCAAGCACCUGUGGAGGGGCCCGCGCCCCAUUAGCUUGUUGGUGAGGUAACGGCUCACCAAGGCCGCGAUGGGUAGCCGACCUGAGAGGGUGAUCGGCCACACUGGAACUGAGACACGGUCCAG